AGGAUUAGAUACCCUGGUAGUCCACGCCGUAAACGAUGUCGACUUGGAGGUUGUGCCCUUGAGGUGUGGCUUCCGGAGCUAACGCGUUAAGUCGACCGCCUGGGGAGUACGGCCGCAAGGUUAAAACUCAAAUGAAUUGACGGGGGCCCGCACAAGCGGUGGAGCAUGUGGUUUAAUUCGAUGCAACGCGAAGAACCUUACCUGGUCUUGACAUCCACGGAAGUUUUCAGAGAUGAGAAUGUGCCUUCGGGAACCGUGAGACAGGUGCUGCAUGGCUGUCGUCAGCUCGUGUUGUGAAAUGUUGGGUUAAGUCCCGCAACGAGCGCAACCCUUAUCCUUUGUUGCCAGCGGUCCGGCCGGGAACUCAAAGGAGACUGCCAGUGAUAAACUGGAGGAAGGUGGGGAUGACGUCAAGUCAUCAUGGCCCUUACGACCAGGGCUACACACGUGCUACAAUGGCGCAUACAAAGAGAAGCGACCUCGCGAGAGCAAGCGGACCUCAUAAAGUGCGUCGUAGUCCGGAUUGGAGUCUGCAACUCGACUCCAUGAAGUCGGAAUCGCUAGUAAUCGUGGAUCAGAAUGCCACGGUGAAUACGUUCCCGGGCCUUGUACACACCGCCCGUCACACCAUGGGAGUGGGUUGCAAAAGAAGUAGGUAGCUUAACCUUCGGGAGGGCGCUUACCACUUUGUGAUUCAUGACUGGGGUGAAGUCGUAACAAGGUAACCGUAGGGGAACCUGCGGUUGGAUCACCUCCUUACCUUAAAGAAGC
rnacentral:rRNA from 1 species